AGCGAACGCUGGCGGCAGGCUUAACACAUGCAAGUCGAGCGGGCAUACAUGUGGUGUUAGCGGCUGACGGGUGAGUAACGCGUGGGAACGAGCCCUUCGGCUCGGACUAACUCUGGGUAACUUGUGCUAAAACCGGACAUGCGCGAGUACAGCAUGGUUGAUCUGCGGUAGGAUCGGCGCGCAUCUGAUCUUCUGGUUGGUGAGGGUAUGGCUCACCAAUGCGUCGAUGAGUAGCUGGUCUGAGAGGAAGACCAGGCACACUGGCGCUGGGACACGGCCGAGACUCCUACGGGAGGGAGGAGUGGGGAAUAUAGGACUAUGGCGGCAGCCCUGAACCAGCCAUGCCGGGUAAGUGAUGAUGGCGUUAGGGAAGUAAAGCUCUUUUCUACGGGGCGGUACUGACGGUACCGGAGGAAUAAGCCCCGGCUAACUUCGUG
rnacentral:rRNA from 1 species